CCUACGGGGGGCUGCAGUAGGGAAUAUUGGACAAUGGGCGAAAGCCUGAUCCAGCCAUGCCGCGUGAUAGAUGAAGGCCCUCUGGGUUGUAAAUAUCUUUUAUCUGGGAAGAAACAAUCUUAUUCUUAAGAUCUUGACGGUACCAGAGGAAUAAGCACCGGCUAACCUCGUGCCAGCAGCCGCGGUAAUACGGAGGGUGCAAGCGUUAUCCGGUUUCACUGGGGUUAAGGGGGGCGUAGGAGGGAUGGGUGAAAGCUCCGAGCUGAACUUGGAAACAGCCAUUGAUACUGCCAGUCUUGAAUGUCGUAGAGGUAAGCGGAAUGUUGCAUGUAGCGGUGAAAUGCUUAGAUAUGUUACAGAACACCAAUUGCGAAGGCAGCUUACUAUGCGAUGAUUGACGCUGAGGCACGAAAGCGUGGGGAGCAAACAGGAUUAGAUACCCCUGUAGUC
rnacentral:rRNA from 1 species